rnacentral:rRNA from 1 species
UACGAAGGGGGCUAGCGUUGCUCGGGAUUACUGGGCGUAAAGGGCGCGUAGGCGGAUAGUUUAGUCAGAGGUGAAAGCCCAGGGCUCAACCUUGGAAUUGCCUUUGAUACUGGCUAUCUUGAGUUCGGGAGAGGUGAGUGGAAUGCCGAGUGUAGAGGUGAAAUUCGUAGAUAUUCGGCGGAACACCAGUGGCGAAGGCGACUCACUGGCCCGAUACUGACGCUGAGGCGCGAAAGCGUGGGGAGCAAACAGG